rnacentral:rRNA from 1 species
CCGUGAAGCUGGAUUCGCUAGUAAUCGCGCAUCAGCCAUGGCGCGGUGAAUACGUUCCCGGGCCUUGUACACACCGCCCGUCAAGCCAUGGGAGCCGGGGGUGCUUGAAGUGCGUCGCCGCAAGGCGCGCCCUAGAGCAAAAACCGGUGACUGGGGCUAAGUCGUAACAAGGUAUC